UACGUAGGGUGCAAGCGUAGUCCGGAAUUAUUGGGCGUAAAGAGCUCGUAGGCGGUCUGUCGCGUCUGCUGUGAAAACUCAGGGCUUAACCCUGAGCUUGCAGUGGGUACGGGCAGACUAGAGUGCGGUAGGGGAGACUGGAAUUCCUGGUGUAGCGGUGAAAUGCGCAGAUAUCAGGAGGAACACCGGUGGCGAAGGCGGGUCUCUGGGCCGUAACUGACGCUGAGGAGCGAAAGCAUGGGGAGCGAACAGG
rnacentral:rRNA from 1 species